rnacentral:rRNA from 1 species
GCUUACACAUGCAAGUCGAACGGUGAAGCUCCAGCUUGCUGGAGUGGAUCAGUGGCGAACGGGUGAGUAACACGUGAGCAACCUGCCCCAGACUCUGGAAUAAGCGCUGGAAACGGCGUCUAAUACUGGAUACGAGAUCGAGCCGCAUGGUUAUGGUCUGGAAAGUUUUUCGGUUUGGGAUGGGCUCGCGGCCUAUCAGCUUGUUGGUGAGGUAAUGGCUCACCAAGGCGACGACGGGUAGCCGGCCUGAGAGGGCGACCGGCCACACUGGGACUGAGACACGGCCCAGACUCCUACGGGAGGCAGCAGUGGGGAAUAUUGCACAAUGGGCGAAAGCCUGAUGCAGCGACGCCGCGUGAGGGAUGACGGCCUUCGGGUUGUAAACCUCUUUCAGCAGGGAAGAAGCGAAAGUGACGGUACCUGCAGAAGAAGCACCGGCUAACUACGUGCCAGCAGCCGCGGUAAUACGUAGGGUGCGAGCGUUGUCCGGAAUUAUUGGGCGUAAAGAGCUUGUAGGCGGUUUGUCGCGUCUGCUGUGAAAAUCCGGGGCUCAACCCCGGACUUGCAGUGGGUACGGGCAGACUAGAGUGUGGUAGGGGAGACUGGAAUUCCUGGUGUAACGGUGAAAUGC